UUAAAUUGAAGAGUUUGAUCAUGGCUCAGAUUGAACGCUGGCGGCAGGCCUAACACAUGCAAGUCGAACGGUAACAGGAAGCAGCUUGCUGCUUUGCUGACGAGUGGCGGACGGGUGAGUAAUGUCUGGGAAACUGCCUGAUGGAGGGGGAUAACUACUGGAAACGGUAGCUAAUACCGCAUAACGUCGCAAGACCAAAGAGGGGGACCUUCGGGCCUCUUGCCAUCGGAUGUGCCCAG
rnacentral:rRNA from 1 species